AAGGUCUACCUUAAAGAUUGAGAGUUAAUUUUGAAACACACAAACUUUGCGCCUAAACAAAGUGAAGGAGCAGGAAAAGCAUAUAAGCAUAAAAAGCAUUGAACAAGCGUUUCUCUUAGCGCCUACAUUUUUCAAAGAUCUCCUAACGAUAACGUUCAUCUUGAAGCUUUUUUUUUAAAUGUAUCACUCCCUCUCACUCUCAUCUUUUUUUUACCAUCAUCUCUAUCAUCAACUACAAUCAUUAACUAUAAACAUCAACUAUAAUCAUCAACUAAUCUUCUGGUGUUCCUUAAAGUGAAAUAAGCAACCAAUAUUGAUCUUUCUUACCUUGAAUCAACUUUAAGGCAAAUUAUCAUCUUCAUGUUUCUCAAGUUUUUUUACCUUUUGCCUUGAGCUUAUUUUCACAGCAUGAUAAUAUUAUCAUAUUGUUCAGUUAUUAUAUGCUGUGUGGUUAUUAUUUGCAUGGUACGGGACUCUUGUAAUAAUUGUAAUUUGCUGUUGUAGAGACACCAAGCAGGAGAGGGUUUAACUAUGGGUGUGUGAUUUUGGAUCCAUUUUUGGUUUUCAACUCAAAUUGGCUGAUUUUAUAAUUGGUUUAACAACAACCACAAUUAGCAUUAACAUUCAAGUUGCCUCCUUUUGUUUCAAUGUAUUGUUUUUUUCCUGGAUUCACCAACAAGGCAAAGCAAAAGGAUGGUUUAAUUGUGCGAUUAUAAUCUUGACUUUCUCUUCUUUGGCCGCGAGUUUCCUUUGUAGUUAACUUUUCAAACAAUACCAGCUAAAUCACCUUCUUCGAUCACAGUUAUACUGAUCUAUUUUGAUCUCAAAGUCAAUUUCAUUUGAAUGGAAAGGUAAAAUGGUUUUGACAAAGGGAAACCUCAUUUUGUGAUGUAAAGACCUACUUGUGUGUUUAUCUACAUCUUUUUUUGCCAUCCCUUUCUUUUUUGAGUGUUCAGAUGUUGUUGAUGUUGAUUAUUAAGUUUAUGAUUUAGAGACAUUUAAUAGCCGUAAGGCAUUUGCUUUAACAAGUAGAGGAUGGCAAAAAAUAUGAUGAAGAUGAUGAAGGAGAUGAAAGAGAAGCAAGAAAACAACUUUGACCUUAAACUCCUCCUUGUUGAUAGUUCCUUUGAGUUUCUUGAACAAUCCGCAAAAAAAGUGAACAGAAAAAGCUUAGAAGCAAAAUAAAUAUCUAAAAUACAAGGUAAAAUAUUUACUUAUUUAAGGGUCAAAUCAUUUUGAAGCUACUUUUUUGUUUCCAAUUUGACUUGAAAUCAUCAAAAUUGAUCCAGAAGCAGCAAAAAGUCCAGUAAAAAACAAAUCUAAUUGUAACCAUUUUGCCAACUAAUUAAGCUUUUGUUAAUCAAGUAUGAAUGAGAAAGCUCAGCAUGAGAUGGCGAAAAAUUGAAAGUGAAGAUGAUAAAAUGAUGUUGGAGCAAAGAUGAUAACUAGAGAGAUGGAAACGCAAGCUUAAUAAUGAUACAAGAGAUGAAAGUUGGGAGUGCUGAGAUAUCAUCAAUUUAACAUCAUCUUUGGUCAAUUUUAAUAAUUUUUUUAAUUGCAUUUUAACUAACAGACAAAUGAUGAUCCUAAUCAAGACAGAGUCCAAGUAAAAGUACCAUUUAACUGAUAA